GACAGAGGGUGCAAACGUUGUUCGGAAUUACUGGGCGUAAAGCGCGUGUAGGCGGCUUGGCAAGUCGGGUGUGAAAGCCCUGGGCUCAACCUAGGAAGUGCACUCGAAACUGCCUCGCUGGAGUGCCGGAGAGGAAAGCGGAAUUCUCGGUGUAGAGGUGAAAUUCGUAGAUAUCGAGAGGAACACCGGUGGCGAAGGCGGCUUUCUGGACGGUUAUUGACGCUGAGACGCGAAAGCGUGGGGAGCAAACAGG
rnacentral:rRNA from 1 species